rnacentral:misc_RNA from 1 species
CAACCCUCGGUGCCCCCGUGGCCCGGUGUUGGGGGCCCGCGCCUCGCCGCGGCCCCCUAAAUCCAGUGGCGGUCCGCUGCGGCCACCCUUGCGUAGUAGUAUAAACCUCGCAUCGGUAACCCGGCGGCCACCGGCCUCUAAACCCCCAAUCAAGACCGCCCAGCGCGGCAA